UAGAGAAUAGUAUGGUGGAGGUACGCGGGGUUUUGAGCCCCUUAGUACAGGUUCGAGUCCUGUUUUUCUA
rnacentral:tRNA from 1 species